CUUUUUGCUCACCCCACCUGGUACUCCAUGUCGUAGCUGGGCAGGAUGAUCCGCCCGUGCUUCCACUCGCCGCCCUGGUCCUCGCGGAUGACCCACAGCAGCUUGCUCUCCUGGCUGGCUUCCCGCACCACCUGCAGCGCCACCCCGCGGCCGCCUGUGGCCUGGGACGGUGAAUAUCCUGGACUUGUCAGGGUAGAUGGGCUAGGAUUCUAGAGCCUAGAAUCAAUGCAACACUCCCUGGACCGCUGCUUUGCUGUUGUUAAUCCUGCUGACCUCACCUUUGUAGCAUUUACUGACUGUACUGCUGAUUUUACCUUGUUUUUAAAAGGACUUCAGGCUAUUUUCCAUGGAUUUCAGAAGUUUCGCAAAUAAGACCCACUUGCUGC
rnacentral:antisense_RNA from 1 species